rnacentral:lncRNA from 1 species
AAUAUUUAAAAAAACAUUAAAUGAUUUUUUUUUUAGUUUUUAAUAAUUUUUUAAUAGAAAAUGAGCCCCGGAUCAAGCCACGUCAACAUUUAACUGAGAAAUUCACCCCAAGCUAACGGAAAGUAUAACAUUGGCACAAAUUCAUGAAAUGAGGUAUGAUAUUGUCAAUUUUAAAAGAUGAGGUAUGAAAGUGUCGUGACACCAAUAGUUGAGGUAGUUUUUUGUACUUUACCCAAAUUAAUAAUAUUUGUGCCACCAAAAAUAAUACAUAAAAUCUUGAAGCUAACGUGUGGAUUUUUAACUACAAGUGAUGAGAAUGUCCUCAUUCCACCGGCAAAUCAAUCCUCGAGAACACGAGCGGACUACAAUCUCUCCAAGCUCACCUGCUCAUGCCAAGUUGAGAAAAGUUAAAGUUAUUAAAGAUAGGAUGUAUAACAAAAUCCUAUCUUUAAAGCUUUUCUUGUUGAAAAUAAACUCAAUCAAGUAAGGAAUCACAAUCAAAUCCAAUCAAGGAUACUACGAGAUAAUUCUAAGAUAUUAUUUAAUUCACAAUAUUUUCGGGAUAAUUCUUUUCUCCAUCCAAUGGAAUCCAACGGAUGACACACAUUGGCCAACUGAACAUAGACACAUCGCAUUGCAAUUCCUGCACAUAUGGCCAACUACUUCCUAUAAAUACUCAUUCUACACCAAAGUCUAGUAAGUUUUUGCUAGGCAAUUAAGCCUUAAAAAUUCUCUAUUUUCAGAUAAACUGACUUAGACAUCGGAGAUCCAUUGGCAACCCCCUACCACCUCCACUUUAUGGGCUCGUCUUUGGUAUUUGACCAAAUGUGUUUAAUUGUUUAGUAGGUACAAUUUCGUCAAAACUAAAGAAGGCAGAUUUUUACUAUCACAAAUUGACGCUUUCAUUGAAAGCUUGAUUCAAUUAUGGAAGAAGCUCUCGCAAUUUCUUUCGAAAUUUCUCCCCCUUUGAAUUUAUAGUGCUCCCAAUUUUUAAAUUUUUUAUUCCGUGAUUUGUUUGCCCUAGAAAAGGAAAAACAUGGCUGAAAAUUCCUAAAUCACGACGAAUUGCACUUCCAAUGUACCUGGACAUGGACUGAAGAAUGUAGAUUAUGGCCUAGCCCCACCCUACAGCUCCUCACGGCUGAGCACGGAAGCACGAGGAUUCCCUACCACUAUAGCAGCAACCCAGUCCACGCAGCCAGCACCGCUUGCCCAAGCUUUAGCAGGUGCAGUAGCCCAGAACCAUGUUGAGGCCCAGAUUGCAGCACGAGCCCAUGCGCAGGCACUGCCGGCACAAGCAGCUUAGUAAGCCCAUGCCCAACUCGCCUCACCGGCACCAGCUCAGCACGCUCAGGCCUAUGGCGCGCACGCGGGCUGAUCCACUCUAGCACCCGCUUACUCAAUCCGGACUAGGGAUGUCAAUUUGAACCAUCAA